rnacentral:rRNA from 1 species
GAUGAACGCUGGCGGCGUGCCUAACACAUGCAAGUCGAACGGGGUUAUUUCGAUGAGAUCUUCGGAUGGAUUUGGGAUAACUUAGUGGCGGACGGGUGAGUAACGCGUGGGGAACCUGCCUCGGACUGGGGGAUAGCAGUUGGAAACGACUGAUAAUACCGCAUAAGCCCACGGGACCGCAUGAUCCUGUGAGAAAAACUCCGGUGGUUCGAGAUGGACCCGCGUCUGAUUAGCCAGUUGGCAGGGUAACGGCCUACCAAAGCGACGAUCAGUAGCCGGCUUGAGAGAGCGGACGGCCACAUUGGGACUGAGACACGGCCCAAACUCCUACGGGAGGCAGCAGUGGGGGAUAUUGCACAAUGGGCGAAAGCCUGAUGCAGCGACGCCGCGUGAGUGAAGAAGUAUUUCGGUAUGUAAAGCUCUAUCAGCAGGGAAGAAAGGCCUCGCAAGAGGAGAUGACGGUACCUGACUAAGAAGCCCCGGCUAACUACGUGCCAGCAGCCGCGGUAAUACGUAGGGGGCAAGCGUUAUCCGGAUUUACUGGGUGUAAAGGGAGCGCAGACGGAAGGGCAAGUCUGAUGUGAAAGUCCGGGGCUCAACCCCGGGACUGCAUUGGAAACUGUUUUUCUUGAGUGCAGGAAGGGUAAGCGGAAUUCCUAGUGUAGCGGUGAAAUGCGUAGAUAUGACGAAGAACCCCGAUUGCGUAGGCAGCUGACCAGGCCACAAAUGACGCUCAGGCACGAAAGUGCGGGGAUCGAACAGGAUUAGAUACCCUGGUAGUCCGCACAGUAAACGAUGAAUACUUGUUUUGGGCGAUAUAAUGUCCGAGGCAAAGCGAAAGCGAUAAGU